UACGAAGGGGGCUAGCGUUGCUCGGAAUUACUGGGCGUAAAGGGCGCGUAGGCGGACAGUUUAGUCAGAGGUGAAAGCCCAGGGCUCAACCUUGGAAUUGCCUUUGAUACUGGCUGUCUUGAGUUCGGGAGAGGUGAGUGGAAUGCCGAGUGUAGAGGUGAAAUUCGUAGAUAUUCGGCGGAACACCAGUGGCGAAGGCGACUCACUGGCCCGAUACUGACGCUGAGGAGCGAAAGCAUGGGUAGCGAACAGG
rnacentral:rRNA from 1 species